CUACUUACCUGGCAGGGGAGAUACCAUGAUCACGGAGAUGAUUUUCCUACAGCAAGCCUUAUUCAGUUGCACUCUGGAUAUGCUUACCUCUGCAGUUCCCCCAAAUGUGGGAAACUUGACCGCAUAAUUUGUGGUAGUGGGGGAGUGUGUUCAUAUUUCCCCU